CAUCUAGGCACAUUGUUACGUCAUUCUGUUUACUGUAAAACAUUUUCGUUUUCCUAUUUACUUGAUACUAUACGAUAUAGAACUAAGUAACCACCAGGUAACCUAAAUUUGUUUUAUUUGUUUAACAAAUUGUAAUAAUCGCCAUUGUCAUUUAUCGCAUACACGUUCGGAUAAUGUUAUAAAAUAACGUAAAGUGUAAACGAUGGAAUAAUUUUAGCAAUCUGCUUGGAUUGACGGGUUUUGUUUGUUUUUAUCAUUUUGUUCUAAUUAAUUGUUGUGCGGGGCAAAAAGACUCACGCUACUUGAAAACCGUCGGCUUUCACUUUUAUCACGCGGUCGCGUAGUACGCGUAUACUUAAUGAAAUAACGUCAUCAUUAAACGGAAUAUUUUAAAUUAAAAACAAAUAAAUUAUACACUCAUACGAAUCAGCAGGGAACGUGGCACUUAAUUAUUUUCGCCGUGAACGUGCACGAUGCACGCACAUUUUUACGU